GAUGAACGCUGGCGGCGUGCCUAAUACAUGCAAGUCGAGCGAACGGACGAGAAGCUUGCGUUUCUGAUGUUAGCGGCGGACGGGAGAGUAACACGUGGAUAACCUACCUAUAAGACUGGGAUAAUUUCGGGAAACCGGAGCUAAUACCGGAUAAUCUUUUGAACCGCAUGGUUCAAAAGUGAGAGACGGUCUUGCGGUCACUAAUAGAUGGAUCCGCGCUGCAUUAGCUGGUUGGUAAGGUAACGGCUUACCAAGGCAACGAUGCGUAGCCGACCUGAGAGGGUGAUCGCCCACACCGGAGCUUAGCCACGGACCAGACUCCUACGGUAGGCCGCAGUAGGGAAUCUUCCGCAAUGGUCGAGAGCCUGACGGAGCAACGCCGCGUCAGUGAUGAAAGUCUUCGGAUCGUAAAACUCUGUUAUUAGGGAAGAACAUAUGUGUAAGUAACUGUGCACAUCUUGACGGUACCUGAUCAGAAAGCCACGGCUAACUACGUG
rnacentral:rRNA from 1 species